ACCAAACCGAUGCAAACUCCGAAUACCUAUGAGUACUAUCCGGGAGACAGACUGCGGGUGCUAACGUCCGUAGUCAAGAGGAAAACAAUCCAGACCGCCAGCUAAGGCCCCAAAAUCAUAGUUAAGUGGGAAACGAUGUGGGAAGGCAUAGACAGCUAGGAGGUUGGCUUAGAAGCAGCCACCCUUUAAAGAAAGCGUAAUAGCUCACUAGUCGAGUCGGCCUGCGCGGAAGAUGUAACGGGGCUAAAACUAUGUGCCGAAGCUGCGGAUGUAUACUUUGUAUACGUGGUAGGGGAGCGUUCUGUAAGCCGAUGAAGGUGUGUUGAGAAGCAUGCUGGAGGUAUCAGAAGUGCGAAUGCUGACGUGAGUAACGACAAAACGGGUGAAAAACCCGUUCGCCGAAAGACCAAGGGUUCCAGUCCAACGUUAAUCGGGGCUGGGUGAGUCGACCCCUAAGGCGAGGCCGAAAGGCGUAGUCGAUGGGAAAAUGGUUAAUAUUCCAUUACUUCUGUGUAAUGCGAUGAGAGGACGGAGAAGGCUAAAUCAGCCUGGCGUUGGUUGUCCAGGUGAAAGGAUGUAGGCAUGUAUCUUAGGCAAAUCCGGGGUACUCUAUGCUGAGAUCUGAUAGCAAGCUGUACUUGUACAGCGAAGUGGUUGAUGCCAUGCUUCCAGGAAAAGUCUCUAAGCUUCAGUUACACAGGAAUCGUACCCGAAACCGACACAGGUGGUCAGGUCGAGUAGACCAAGGCGCUUGAGAGAACUCUGCUGAAGGAACUAGGCAAAAUGGUACCGUAACUUCGGGAGAAGGUACGCUGUUGUUGGUGAUGGAACUCGCUUCCUGAGCUGACGACAGCCGCAGAAACCAGGCCGCUGCAACUGUUUAUUAAAAACAUAGCACUCUGCAAACACGAAAGUGGACGUAUAGGGUGUGAUGCCUGCCCGGUGCUGGAAGGUUAAUUGAUGGGGUUAGCGUAAGCGAAGCUCUUGAUCGAAGCCCCAGUAAACGGCGGCCGUAACUAUAACGGUCCUAAGGUAGCGAAAUUCCUUGUCGGGUAAGUUCCGACCUGCACGAAUGGCAUAAUGAUGGCGGCGCUGUCUCCAGCAGAGGCUCAGUGAAAUCGAAAUCGCUGUGAAGAUGCAGUGUACCCGCGGCUAGACGGAAAGACCCCGUGAACCUUUACUGCAGCUUGACACUGAACUUUGACCUUACUUGUGUAGGAUAGGUGGGAGGCUUUGAAGCUGGAACGCUAGUUCCAGUGGAGCCGUCCUUGAAAUACCACCCUGGUAAUGUUGAGGUUCUAACUCUGUCCCGUGAUCCGGGACGAGGACCGUGUCUGGUGGGUAGUUUGACUGGGGCGGUCUCCUCCUAAAGAGUAACGGAGGAGUACGAAGGUGCGCUCAGCGUGGUCGGAAAUCACGCGUAGAGUAUAAAGGCAAAAGCGCGCUUAACUGCGAGACCCACAAGUCGAGCAGGUACGAAAGUAGGUCUUAGUGAUCCGGUGGUUCUGUAUGGAAGGGCCAUCGCUCAACGGAUAAAAGGUACUCUGGGGAUAACAGGCUGAUACCGCCCAAGAGUUCAUAUCGACGGCGGUGUUUGGCACCUCGAUGUCGGCUCAUCUCAUCCUGGGGCUGAAGCAGGUCCCAAGGGUAUGGCUGUUCGCCAUUUAAAGAGGUACGCGAGCUGGGUUUAGAACGUCGUGAGACAGUUCGGUCCCUAUCUACCGUGGGCGCUGGAAAUUUGAGAGGAUCUGCUCCUAGUACGAGAGGACCAGAGUGGACGAACCUCUGGUGUACCGGUUGUGACGCCAGUCGCAUCGCCGGGUAGCUAUGUUCGGAAGGGAUAACCGCUGAAAGCAUCUAAGCGGGAAGCCUACCUCAAGAUAAGAUUUCCCUAGGACUUUAUGUCCUCUAAAGAGCCGUUCGAGACUAGGACGUUGAUAGGUUGGAUGUGGAAGCAUAGUGAUAUGUGAAGCUGACCAAUACUAAUUGCUCGUGAGGCUUGACUAU
rnacentral:rRNA from 1 species